rnacentral:rRNA from 1 species
UACGGGGGGAGCAAGCGUUGUUCGGAUUUACUGGGCGUAAAGGGCGCGUAGGCGGUCGUGACAAGUCACUUGUGAAAUCUCCGGGCUUAACUCGGAACAGUCAAGUGAUACUGUCGGACUAGAGUACAGAAGGGGCAACUGGAAUUCUCGGUGUAGCGGUGAAAUGCGUAGAUAUCGAGAGGAACACCUGCGGCGAAGGCGGUUGCCUGGAGCUUUGCUGACGCUGAUGCGCGAAAGCGUGGGGAGCGAUCCGG